AUUGAACGCUGGCGGCAGGCCUAACACAUGCAAGUCGAGCGGAUGAAGGGAGCUUGCUCCUGGAUUCAGCGGCGGACGGGUGAGUAAUGCCUAGGAAUCUGCCUGGUAGUGGGGGAUAACGUCCGGAAACGGGCGCUAAUACCGCAUACGUCCUGAGGGAGAAAGUGGGGGAUCUUCGGACCUCACGCUAUCAGAUGAGCCUAGGUCGGAUUAGCUAGUUGGUGGGGUAAAGGCCUACCAAGGCGACGAUCCGUAACUGGUCUGAGAGGAUGAUCAGUCACAAUGGAACUGAGAAACGGUCCAGACUCCUACGGGAGGCAGCAGUGGGGAAUAUUGGACAAUGGGCGAAAGCCUGAUCCAGCCAUGCCGCGUGUGUGAAGAAGGUCUUCGGAUUGUAAAGCACUUUAAGUUGGGAGGAAGGGCAGUAAGUUAAUACCUUGCUGUUUUGACGUUACCAACAGAAUAAGCACCGGCUAACUUCGUG
rnacentral:rRNA from 1 species